rnacentral:rRNA from 1 species
AGUGAACGCUGGCGGUAGGCCUAACACAUGCAAGUCGAACGGCAGCACAGUAAGAGCUUGCUCUUACGGGUGGCGAGUGGCGGACGGGUGAGGAAUACAUCGGAAUCUACUUUUUCGUGGGGGAGAACGUAGGGAAACUUACGCUAAUACCGCAUACGACCUACGGGUGAAAGCAGGGGAUCUUCGGACCUUGCGCGAUUGAAUGAGCCGAUGUCGGAUUAGCUAGUUGGCGGGGUAAAGGCCCACCAAGGCGACGAUCCGUAGCUGGUCUGAGAGGAUGAUGAGCCACACUGGAACUGAGACACGGUCCAGGCUCCUACGGGAGGCAGCAGUGGGGAAUAGUGGACAAUGGGCGCAAUCCUGAUCCAGCCAUACCGCGUGGGUGAAGAAGGCCUGCGUGUUGUAAAGCCCUUUUGUUGGGAAAGAAAAGCAGCAGGUUAAUACCCCGCUGUUCUGACGGUACCCAAAGAAUAAGCACCGGCUAACUUCGUG